rnacentral:rRNA from 1 species
UACGGGGGGGGCAAGCGUUGUUCGGAAUUACUGGGCGUAAAGGGCUCGUAGGUGGCCAACUAAGUCAGACGUGAAAUCCCUCGGCUUAACCGGGGAACUGCGUCUGAUACUGGAUGGCUUGAGUUCGGGAGAGGUGAGUGGAAUUCCCAGUGUAGCGGUGAAAUGCGUAGAUAUUGGGAGGAACACCAGUGGCGAAGGCGGCUCACUGGACCGGUACUGACGCUGAUGCGCGAAAGCGUGGGGAGCAAACGGG